GCACUGCUGAGGAGUCCCACAAUGGGACGAAACCGUUGUCCAGUGC
rnacentral:hammerhead_ribozyme from 1 species